UGGGGAAUAUUGCACAAUGGGCGCAAGCCUGAUGCAGCAACGCCGCGUGAACGAUGAAGGUCUUCGGAUCGUAAAGUUCUGUUGCAGGGGAAGAUAAUGACGGUACCCUGUGAGGAAGCCCCGGCUAACUACGUGCCAGCAGCCGCGGUAAUACGUAGGGGGCUAGCGUUAUCCGGUUUUACUGGGCGUAAAGGGUGCGUAGGUGGUCUUUCAAGUCGGUGGUUAAAGGCUACGGCUCAACCGUAGUUAGCCUCCGAAACUGGAAGACUUGAGUGCAGGAGAGGAAAGUGGAAUUCCCAGUGUAGCGGUGAAAUGCGUAGAUAUUGGGAGGAACACCAGUAGCGAAGGCGGCUUUCUGGACUGCAACUGACACUGGGGCACGAAAGCGUGGGUAGCAAACAGG
rnacentral:rRNA from 1 species